UUUGUCUUCAAUUAUCCUGCUUCUCACCUCUGAAGCAACUUCUCUACAAACGGAAGCUUAGAACAAAGGACUGAUAGACCCAUCCA